rnacentral:misc_RNA from 1 species
GAUGAAGAACGUAGCGAAAUGCGAUAAGUAGUGUGAAUUGCAGAAUUCAGUGAAUCAUCGAAUCUUUGAACGCACAUUGCGCCCCAUGGUAUUCCGUGGGGCAUGCCUGUUCGAGCGUCAUUUACCCCCUCAAGCUCCGCUUGGUGUUGGGCGUCUGUCCCGCUUCGCGCGCGGACUCGCCCCAAAGGUAUUGGCAGCGGUCGUGCCAGCUUCUCGCGCAGCACAUUGCGCUUCUCGAGGCACCGGUGGGCCCGCGUCCAUAAAGCUCACCCCCCCAGUUUGACCUCGGAUCAGGUAGGGAUACCCGCUGAACUUAAGCAUAUCAAUAAGCGGAGGA